rnacentral:rRNA from 1 species
GACGAACGCUGGCGGCGUGCCUAAUACAUGCAAGUAGGACGCAGUUGCGAACGGGUGAGUAACGCGUAGCUAACUGCCUAUUAGAGGGGGAUAACUAUUGGAAACGAUAGCUAAUACCGCAUACUAACCGAUGGUCCUGCGUUGUAUUAGCUAGCAGGUAGGGUAAUGGCCUACCAAGGCUACGAUACAUAGCCGACCUGAGAGGGGGAUCGGCCACACUGGGACGGAGACACGGCCCAGACUCCUACGGGAGGCAGCAGUAGGGAAUCUUCGGCAAUGGGGGGAAGCCUGACCGAGCAACGCCGCGUGAGUGAAGAAGGUUUUCGGAUCGUAAAGCUCUGUUGUUAAGGAAGCGGUACUUAACCAGAAAGGGACGGCUAACUACGUGCCAGCAGCCGCGGUAAUUC